UGCAGAACGAGAUCAAAAGUGGCUAUGGUCAUGACAGUUUUCGGUCAUUUUAACUCAUGGUCUAAAUCAUAGUACAAGGGGAUUGCAUACCCGAGCAAGAGAACUAUUUAACUCCAAUAAGCGAAACAGAGAACGAGAAGGCGGAAAGGGUCAAGUUGACGAGCUACUCGGAAUCUACACUGAACGAUGUAUCACUUGCAACCUCAGCCAGAAGCAUCAGGCUACCUGAAGACACACUAUUGAACAAGACAGAGUACAAAGAAUUUACUAAGAGCUUGCACCAGUCGCAACGCCACCGCAUUAUUGAGAAUAGGCGCCGGAUAGCCGCAGAAUUGAAGACUCAGCAGGAACAGUUAGAAAAAGAGCGUCAAGAAAUGGACCAUUUUGAAAGACGAGUCAUUCGCUCGUUUUCCGAAAGGUGGGCCAAGCAGAUUCCGAUAGGACACAAGCGACCUCGUGGCUACUCGUACUCUCGUGCCCAAAGUGCUGGAUCCAUUUCUCUCAUGGGAUCUUACCGGCUUGCAACUGGAGCAGGAAGUGCCGUGCCGCACUACAGUAGAGGCCUCUUCUCACGACGUUCAUUCAGUGCUGGAGCCAUUUCACCAUCGUCUUGUAUGAAAUGCUCCGUGCGGGCGUCAGGCAUCCGUGAACCGUCUCCAGCAAGAGGCAGAAGUUGGAGAGAUGCAGGAUUACCACAGGUCAAUACUGUUUAUGAAAAAUUUAUCUAGCAGUUCUAAUCAAUUUCGUUUGUUUCAAUUAUUGAUCUUCUUUGUUUCUUUUACAACAUGUUCCGUGGACAGAGUUGUUUGAAUUGCGGAAGAUGGAGAACGGUUGAUACACUGAAGGACGGCUGGCACAUCCACCACAAGCAUGUUUAGCAGCAAAUCAACUGGAUCCAUGAUCAUCAGUAAUUAUCUAUUUAUGUAUGCAUAAUUAUCGCAAUCAACUACCAUGUGCCCAACAUUUAGCGUUCAUUUUAGCUAGUACACUGCCGCUACCUUACGUAUGAUGACAUAGAACAGAAUUAUCAUUUUGUAAAGUACGUUGGUAUCUAGGAAUCAUGCAUCUACAUGUCCAGCACUUGAUUGUUCUUAUCAAUAUUCUGCAGUCAAUUAAACAGUUGAAUUUAAACACCAUUUUUCUUAUAGUUCUCCCUCCAAAUUUUCUGCUAAAUUGCUGGCCGGAAAAUACAAAUAAUCUAAUUGUUACAAAAGAAUACAUACCAACGAAUUAGUCUAGUGACAAACACAGAAUCAAAUAAAACGACCAGGAGCGCCGUGGUCAAUCAACUGGGCAUGGAUGGAAACGCGAGACUAAGACAUAGUUUCGAAAAGCUACUGUACUGUAUGAGACAGAAGAAAUGGGACUUUGUAAAAAGUCACGUGACUUAGUAAGUGGCAUAGGGCGUGGCUGGGAUAACUUAUGGUUUGUGAUGCAA